rnacentral:rRNA from 1 species
ACGGGAGGCAGCAGUGGGGAAUUUUCCGCAAUGGGCGAAAGCCUGACGGAGCAAUACCGCGUGAGGGACGAAGGCCUGUGGGUUGUAAACCUCUUUUGUUAGGGAAGAUAAUGACGGUACCUAACGAAUAAGCAUCGGCUAACUCCGUGCCAGCAGCCGCGGUAAGACGGAGGAUGCAAGCGUUAUCCGGAAUUAUUGGGCGUAAAGCGUACGUAGGCUGUUUCAUAAGUCUGUUGUCAAAGCCCGAGGCUCAACCUUGGAUCGGCAAUGGAAACUGUGAGACUAGAGAGAGAUAGGGGCAGGAGGAAUUCCAGGUGUAGCGGUGAAAUGCGUAGAUAUCUGGAAGAACACCAGUGGCGAAAGCGUCCUGCUGGAUCUCAACUGACGCUGAAGUACGAAAGCUAGGGGAGCGAAUGGGAUUAGAUACCCCAGUAGUCCUAGCCGUAAACGAUGGGUACUAGGUGUUGGUCGUAUCGACCCGAUCAGUGCCGUAGCUAACGCGUUAAGUACCCCGCCUGGGGAGUAC